UGUGGUUUUUGUCUUUCUUUCUUUCUUUCUUUCUUUGCUCAAAACUCCCGGGCAUAGAUCUAGAGUAUUCACUUUGUUCAUCCGUUAUCGUGUUUUUGAAACAAAAAACAUCUGUAUACUGACUUGAGCAUUAUUUUGUUCGGAAUGAAACCAUAUAGAUCAAAGAUAUAUAGAAGGGUCAUAUAUAUAAAAAAAGAGCCGUGGUUGCUUCGC
rnacentral:lncRNA from 1 species